rnacentral:lncRNA from 1 species
UUUAUUCUCAUUACAAGCCUAAAGUGAAAACAAUGAUAUCAUCUUAUUUAAGGGGGUAAAUGAGUCUUGUUUGAAGUUGUGUGGGGUUGAAUUAGCAUAAAUAUGAUAUUUCAAAAGUUGACCGAAAAGAAAAAAAUAGAAAAAAACACAAAGAAGGAAGAAAAUUCAUGUUCUUAUCUUAUCCCUUAAAAAAAGGAAAAGAGAAGAAAAAAUGACUGCAAAGAAGUUGAUGGAAAGUAAAUGAAAUAUUGUUUAGUUCAACUCCCACAGUCCAUUCCAAUUCUCUUUUAUCCCUUUAAAUCUUAGCCUAGUACCCCUUAGGAU